UACGAAGGGGGCUAGCGUUGCUCGGAAUUACUGGGCGUAAAGCGCACGUAGGCGGUCUUUUAAGUCGGGGGUGAAAUCCUGGAGUCAACUCCAGAAACUGCCUUCGAUACUGGAAGACUUGAGUCCGGGAGAGGUGAGUGGAACUGCGAGUGUAGAGGUGAAAUUCGUAGAUAUUCGCAAGAACACCAGUGGCGAAGGCGGCUCACUGGCCCGGUACUGACGCUGAGGUGCGAAAGCGUGGGGAGCAAACAGGAUUAGAAACCCCUGGU
rnacentral:rRNA from 1 species